UAUGGUGCAAAAACCUAUUUACUGUUGCACUGUUCACCUGCUCGAAAUUUCGUUCUAAACUUCUGAUCUUUAAAAAAAUUUGGAAACUAGAAUAAGAAAUUUUAGUUUUAUUUGUCAAAGUUUCUUAAGCCCUUCAAUUAUUACAAAACUUUGUAUUGAUUUGAAAAAGUGCAUAGAAAAGUUAAAGGAUUUUAACCUUUAGAAAAGAAAGAGAAAUAAAGCUAUUUCAACUUUGCUGGAAGUACUCAAAUAGAUCAUCCUGUUCAAAAUUUGAUAUUCAAGGUUUGUCAAAAACAUCAAAAGAUUAGUAAAUCAAUGAGCAAGAAGUAAACAAAAUCGACCACGUAGCCGACCUCAGUAGGAAAGUUUCUGGCCAAAAAAGAAAAGAGAUGACAGAACUGGAACUGGAAUGUGCACCGCAAUCUAUUAGUUAUCAAUCUACAAUUGAGACAAACCUUCAAGCUUUCGGAAAAUAGAGCGCUCGGAUGGCUACAGAAAACCAAAUUCAAAACAUCAGGAAAGCUGUGAAUAAGAUAUUUGCAAGGAAGCAACUGAUAAUGUCCCCCGCCUGGCAGCAGAAUGGGAAUGUCACCGAGGUAUACCUUAAUCGUCUGCAAGUCCAUCAAAAAUAUACGCGAGGGUAGCGAGGAAAAAAUUACACUCACAUUUUGCUCUGGUGGUCUCGAACGAACUGCAGCCAGCCAGUGUAAUCGUACGGAUUUGAAGAGACUAUACAGAAAACAUCUGUAAGCAAAGAGCAAAGUUUAAAAAUACCAUGGAACCAUACAUGGAACGUU